rnacentral:rRNA from 1 species
GAGUUUGAUCCUGGCUCAGAACGAACGCUGGCGGCAGGCCUAAUACAUGCAAGUCGAGCGCAUUCUUCGGAAUGAGCGGCGGACGGGUGAGUAACGCGUGGGAAUAUGCCCUUCUCUAAGGAAUAGCCUCUGGAAACGGAGAGUAAUACCUUAUACGCCCUUCGGGGGAAAGAUUUAUCGGAGAAGGAUUAGCCCGCGUUAGAUUAGGUAGUUGGUGGGGUAAUGGCCUACCAAGCCUACGAUCUAUAGCUGGUUUGAGAGGAUGAUCAGCCACACUGGGACUGAGACACGGCCCAGACUCCUACGGGAGGCAGCAGUAGGGAAUCUUAGACAAUGGGGGAAACCCUGAUCUAGCCAUGCCGCGUGUGUGAUGAAGGCCCUAGGGUCGUAAAGCACUUUCGCCAGAGAUGAUAAUGACAGUAUCUGGUAAAGAAACCCCGGCUAACUCCGUGCCAGCAGCCGCGGUAAUACGGAGGGGGUUAGCGUUGUUCGGAAUUACUGGGCGUAAAGCGCACGUAGGCGGAUUAGUAAGUUAGAGGUGAAAUCCCAGGGCUCAACCCUGGAACUGCCUUUAAUACUGCUAGUCUUGAGUUCGAGAGAGGUAAGUGGAAUUCCGAGUGUAGAGGUGAAAUUCGUAGAUAUUCGGAGGAACACCAGUGGCGAAAGCGGCUUACUGGCUCGAUACUGACGCUGAGGUGCGAAAGUGUGGGGAGCAAACAGGAUUAGAUACCCUGGUAGUCCACACCGUA